AGAGUUUGAUCCUGGCUCAGAGCGAACGCUGGCGGCAGGCUUAACACAUGCAAGUCGAACGGGCACUUCGGUGUCAGUGGCAGACGGGUGAGUAACACGUGGGAACGUACCUUUGGUUCGGAACAACACAGGGAAACUUGUGCUAAUACCGGAUAAGCCCUUACGGGGAAAGAUUUAUCGCCAAAAGAUCGGCCCGCGUCUGAUUAGCUAGUUGGUAGGGUAACGGCCUACCAAGGCGACGAUCAGUAGCUGGUCUGAGAGGAUGAUCAGCCACAUUGGGACUGAGACACGGCCCAAACUCCUACGGGAGGCAGCAGUGGGGAAUAUUGGACAAUGGGCGCAAGCCUGAUCCAGCCAUGCCGCGUGAGUGAUGAAGGCCCUAGGGUUGUAAAGCUCUUUUGUACGGGAAGAUAAUGACGGUACCGUAAGAAUAAGCCCCGGCUAACUUCGUG
rnacentral:rRNA from 1 species